UAAAAGCAGUUAUUAAGUUUUUUUCUUUAAAGCUUUUGAACUUAAAUACACUUUAAGUUAACCUUGUAAACAUCAUUAAGUUUACCUUUAAAAGAUCAAAGAACAAUUAUUAAAACCUUUUUGAUCAGAUAACUAAUAAACUAACUAAACCAUCGAUGCAUAAUUAACUGCAUCAAUGAUUUUUUUUCAUUAUUUUUACCGCAAAAAAUGCAGAUUCAUCUGUUAAACUAAUGAUUUAAAAGGGCUUUUUUUUAUUAUCAAUCAUUGGUUAUUUUUUANUUGUGAUUUUAGCUUUAAUGCUUAUAAAAAAAUCCAAUGAUACAAGUUUUUUAGAAAAGUGUUGUACANACUGAUUNGUUGUGNUAUAAUCUAUAAGGCUUUAUAUA
rnacentral:misc_RNA from 1 species